UAGGGAAUCUUCCACAAUGGACGCAAGUCUGAUGGAGCAACGCCGCGUGAGUGAAGAAGGUCUUCGGAUCGUAAAGCUCUGUUGUUGGUGAAGAAGGAUAGAGGCAGUAACUGGUCUUUAUUUGACGGUAAUCAACCAGAAAGUCACGGCUAACUACGUGCCAGCAGCCGCGGUAAUACGUAGGUGGCAAGCGUUGUCCGGAUUUAUUGGGCGUAAAGCGAGCGCAGGCGGAAUGAUAAGUCUGAUGUGAAAGCCCACGGCUCAACCGUGGAACUGCAUCGGAAACUGUCAUUCGUGAGUGCAGAAGAGGAGAGUGGAACUCCAUGUGUAGCGGUGGAAUGCGUAGAUAUAUGGAAGAACACCAGUGGCGAAGGCGGCUCUCUGGUCUGCAACUGACGCUGAGGCUCGAAAGCAUGGGUAGCGAACAGGAUUAGAUACCCUGGUAGUCCAUGCCGUAAACGAUGAGCGCUAGGUGUUGGGGACUUUCCGGUCCUCAGUGCCGCAGCAAACGCAUUAAGCGCUCCGCCUGGGGAGUACGACCGCAAGGUUGAAAC
rnacentral:rRNA from 1 species